UCUCCUUAUAGUUGGGGUUUGUGUACGUGGCACUGUUCUGGCAGGUUCAUGGAGAGCUUGAUACCAGAGUCGGGCAAGCCAGUUCUCUGAGUGCCCAAAUUAGACAUUUCUACCCCUCGUUAUCAGCAACACUUGGUGUUGGAUUGCGCUAUGAUAAGCAUGAGAAGAUACGCUACACUGUGCGUGCAAAGAAGACAUUCCCUGUCACCGUUGAUAAGCUCUUUACUUUAAAAUUAAUGGGACUUGAUCCGUCUUGUGCUUUCAUCAUGCAUGCGUACGAAAGUGUUCAUGAAGUUUUCUUAACUGAUUGAUUUGCUUGUGAUGAUAUUUGAUUUUGGCACAGGAGGGUCUUGUGGAGAUAAGGGAAGAUUAUAUAGAAGAUUCUCACAAAGGGGAAACGAAAUCAACAUCUUUUAUUGAUGUAUUGGCUCCGGCAGAACUUGAAGGAAUUUUCAUGAGCCACCCUUCUAUUGAAGAUGCAGCUGUUGUCCCGCAAAAAGAUGAUGUAGCUGGUGAAGUUCCAGUUGCUUUUGUGGUGAGGUCAUCAAAUGAUCCUAUUUGAUCAUAUUACUGAAGAUGCUGUCAAGGACUUUAUAGCUAAACAGUUUAAUAACAGUGUUUCCUCAAGUACAAGAAUUGAAAUUGGAACCUUCACGACUCCACCACCAAAUUAGAACCUUUAAGGGAUGUGAAUCUUUUUGGUCCUUGGCUGAAUAAACAAAGUGCAACUGCAGGAGUAGCUCCUCUCACAAGUCACAACAACAGCAUCAUGCUUGAAUGAGGAAAAUUAACUCUUGAUUUAUAAUUUGCUUGAUCUGUUGAAAAUUCUGAUAAGAACUCCCUCCUAAUUGUGGAUUGGAGUUCAAUUUUAGCAUCCUGAAGUAGCACUUUAGGAAUUAAUUUAAUGAUAUGAUUAUAUUCAUAGGAAAGUAACUAUAAUGAGGAACUUGUUUAUUGGGAUAGUCAUCUUAUAUUUUUGGGGUAUCUUUUUAUUGAGACAGUGAGAUAUUGACUAAUGGUGUUAAAAAAUAACAUCCAAUUUUAUAGGUAUCAUGUAAUGAAUAUUAUGUUUAUUUAUGUGAUUUUUGGCUUUCUUUUUUUCAA